rnacentral:rRNA from 1 species
UACGUAGGGGGCAAGCGUUGUUCGGAAUUACUGGGCGUAAAGGGCUCGUAGGCGGCCAACUAAGUCAUACGUGAAAUCCCUCGGCUUAACCGGGGAACUGCGUCUGAUACUGGAUGGCUUGAGUUCGGGAGAGGGAUGCGGAAUUCCAGGUGUAGCGGUGAAAUGCGUAGAUAUCUGGAGGAAUACCGGUGGCGAAGGCGGCAUCCUGGACCAUAACUGACGCUGAGGCGCGAAAGCUAGGGGAGCAAACGGG